CGGACGGGUGAGUAAUGUCUGGGGAACUGCCUGAUGGAGGGGGAUAACUACUGGAAACGGUAGCUAAUACCGCAUAACGUCGCAAGACCAAAGAGGGGGACCUUCGGGCCUCUUGCCAUCGGAUGUGCCCAGAUGGGAUUAGCUAGUAGGUGGGGUAAAGGCUCACCUAGGCGACGAUCCCUAGCUGGUCUGAGAGGAUGACCAGCCACACUGGAACUGAGACACGGUCCAG
rnacentral:rRNA from 1 species